rnacentral:rRNA from 1 species
AGACACGGCCCAGACUCCUACGGGAGGCAGCAGUAGGGAAUCUUCCACAAUGGGCGAAAGCCUGAUGGAGCAACGCCGCGUGAGUGAAGAAGGUUUUCGGAUCGUAAAACUCUGUUGUAAGGGAAGAACAAGUACAGUAGUAACUGGCUGUACCUUGACGGUACCUUAUUAGAAAGCCACGGCUAACUACGUGCCAGCAGCCGCGGUAAUACGUAGGCGGCAAGCGUUGUCCGGAAUUAUUGGGCGUAAAGCGCGCGCAGGUGGUCCUUUAAGUCUGAUGUGAAAGCCCACGGCUCAACCGUGGAGGGUCAUUGGAAACUGGGGGACUUGAGUGCAGAAGAGGAAAGUGGAAUUCCAAGUGUAGCGGUGAAAUGCGUAGAGAUUUGGAGGAACACCACUGGCGAAGGCGACUUUCUGGUCUGUAACUGACACUGAGGCGCGAAAGCGUGGGGAGCAAACAGGAUUAGAUACCCUGGUAGUCCACGCCGUAAAC